GCUAGGAUUAUGGAUGUGAACAACUAGCACUCAGCAAUAGUUAAGAAGUUUUAAACAAUAAAACAAUUACCUGAACAGAUAUCCAAAUGAUGUUUUCCAUCUUGUUUUUUGAGAUGUACUCUAUAAAUUAUACAGCCUCAAGUAGGAAAGUACAUUAAAGAUUAUCUCAGCAAAUCAUACUUUUGGUGAUUGGCUUUUUGUAUUUAUACUCUUUUAAAACACUCCAGUGGGGCUAGGGAUGUAGCUCCUUGGUAGAGAAACUACCAAGCACAUGCAAGGCUCUGAGUUCAGCCUUUGCAUAAAAAAAAAAUCAUUACAACAUUCCAGAGUUUAGGAAUUUAUUGAGACUCCAUGCACAUCAUCCUAGUUUGGUAAAGCUUUAAAUCUUGUAUUUAGUACACACUACACAAAACUGUAGAAAAAUUUUCCUGGCCUUCCAUAAUUUGGCACCAAGUUCUAAAUUUUUAUCAAUACAUCCUUUACUGUAACAGUGGACCAGGGUAGGGCUCUGAACUAGCUCCAGAAAUGAAAUACUUGGCACAGGCUCUGUUCAAUUAAAGCUCAGAAUCCCUGCUUCUCUGGCUGCGCUGGUGUUGGGCUGGCUUUAAGAACUGCCAUACAAUCUAAGUUGGACCUAUCAGUGGGUCUCAGGACUCGAGGGACUUACUGGCAAAUACUUAUCCUGCUUGUCCUUGCACAAGGAAAGCUGUGAGUUGGCAGCAUUUAUUUAUCAAGGAAAGCCUCAGAAGCCAAAAGAAUAGGAGGGCUUAGAGACAGAAAAACUGAGUCAUUAUGACAUUUUUGAGCUGCCAAUCCAGGCACUGGUGGGCACAAUUCUUACCCAGAUUUCUAACUAAAUGUGCAUCAGUAAUUCUCAAAUGCCUUCCCCUUCUCCUGCUUUGAUCUUUUUUUUUUUUUUUUUUUGUUACUUGUCCCCCUGAUAAGGGAAAGAGAGUCUUUUCCAUUGUGGACAUUUUCAUAAAAGUAAAGUCAUUCCUUGUGAAUGUCCCCAAAAUGUGGAUCAAAUAAGGUGGGGUUGCCUGCAAACUAGAAGCUGGUGCUCUUCAUCACAUGAUAAGGAGAUACAAGCCUAGUGUAUCUUGACACUAGAUUAGGCCUCAAAGGCUGCAAUGGGAGACUUCAUAAGAUUUUUAGGACUCUAGACUAAGAUGUUUGCUUUAGUCAGGCUUUAGUGAGAGCAUGCAAAGAAAAGUUUGAUCUGUAACUGGCCUUUUGGAAGGUGAAAAUAUAACUCUGCUAAGACAAAACUAUUUAUGUUAGUUAAAUAACAACCUCUAGGAUUCAGUAGGUCAGCUCUACCAAGAAGUUAGUUUGGGUAAUUUUUAAAACACUUCCUAAUCCUAAAAAAAAAAAAAAAAUCAAUGAAAAAAAUAAGCAA